GUACUGAGACACGGACCAGACUCCUACGGGAGGCAGCAGUGAGGAAUAUUGGUCAAUGGGCGAAAGCCUGAACCAGCCAUGCCGCGUGCAGGAAGACGGUCCUAUGGAUUGUAAACUGCUUUUAUACAGGAAGAAACCCUCCCACGUGUGGGAGAUUGACGGUACUGUAGGAAUAAGGAUCGGCUAACUCCGUGCCAGCAGCCGCGGUAAUACGGAGGAUCCAAGCGUUAUCCGGAAUCAUUGGGUUUAAAGGGUCCGUAGGCGGUCUUAUAAGUCAGUGGUGAAAUCCCAUCGCUCAACGAUGGAACUGCCAUUGAUACUGUAAGACUUGAAUACUUAGGAAGUAACUAGAAUAUGUAGUGUAGCGGUGAAAUGCUUAGAUAUUACAUGGAAUACCAAUUGCGAAGGCAGGUUACUACUAAGUGAUUGACGCUGAUGGACGAAAGCGUGGGGAGCGAACAGGAUUAGAUACCCUGGUAGUCCACGCCGUAAACGAUGGAUACUAGCUGUUCGGAGCAAUCUGAGUGGCUAAGCGAAAGUGAUAAGUAUCCCACCUGGGGAGUACGCACGCAAGUGUGAAACUCAAAGGAAUUGACGG
rnacentral:rRNA from 1 species